rnacentral:rRNA from 1 species
CACGUAGGGCGCGAGCGUUGUCCGGAAUUAUUGGGCGUAAAGAGCUCGUAGGCGGCCUGUUGCGUCCGCUGUGAAAGCCCGGGGCUUAACCCCGGGUCUGCAGUGGAUACGGGCAGGCUAGAGGUAGGUAGGGGAGAAUGGAAUUCCCGGUGUAGCGGUGAAAUGUGCAGAUAUCGGGAGGAACACCGGUGGCGAAGGCGGUUCUCUGGGCCUUACCUGACGCUGAGGAGCGAAAGCGUGGGGAGCGAACAGG